rnacentral:rRNA from 1 species
AUUGAACGCUGGCGGCAGGCCUAACACAUGCAAGUCGAGCGAGCGGCGGACGGGUGAGUAAUGUCUGGGAGACUGCCUGCUGUGGGGGGAUAAAUACUGGAAACGGGAGCUAAUACCGCAUACCAUCAGAUGUGCCCCGAUGGGAUUAGCUAGUAGGUGGGGUAACGGCUCACCUCGGCGACGAUCCCUAGCUGGUCUGAGAGGAGGACCAGCCACACUGGAACUGAGACACGGUCCAGACUCCUACGGGAGGCAGCAGUGGGGAAUAUUGCACAAUGGGCGCAAGCCUGAUGCAGCCAUGCCGCGUGUGUGAAGAAGGCCUUCGGGUUGUAAAGCACUUUCAGCGGGGAGGCGUUACCCGCAGAAGAAGCACCGGCUAACUCCGUGCCAGCAGCCGCGGUAAUAC